rnacentral:rRNA from 1 species
UAUUGCACAAUGGGGGAAACCCUGAUGCAGCGACGCCGCGUGAGCGAAGAAGUAUUUCGGUAUGUAAAGCUCUAUCAGCAGGGAAGAAAAAAAUGACGGUACCUGACUAAGAAGCCCCGGCUAACUACGUGCCAGCAGCCGCGGUAAUACGUAGGGGGCAAGCGUUAUCCGGAUUUACUGGGUGUAAAGGGAGCGUAGACGGCAAUACAAGUCGGAAGUGAAAUACCCGGGCUCAACCUGGGAACUGCUUUGGAAACUGUAUGGCUGGAGUGCUGGAGAGGUAAGCGGAAUUCCUAGUGUAGCGGUGAAAUGCGUAGAUAUUAGGAGGAACACCAGUGGCGAAGGCGGCUUACUGGACAGUAACUGACGUUGAGGCUCGAAAGCGUGGGGAGCAAACAGGA